UGGCGAACUGGUGAGUAACACGUGGGAAACCUGCCCAGAAGCGGGGGAUAACACCUGGAAACAGAUGCUAAUACCGCAUAACAACUUGGACCGCAUGGUCCGAGUUUGAAAGAUGGCUUCGGCUAUCACUUUUGGAUGGUCCCGCGGCGUAUUAGCUAGAUGGUGGGGUAACGGCUCACCAUGGCAAUGAUACGUAGCCGACCUGAGAGGGUAAUCGGCCACAUUGGGACUGAGACACGGCCCAAACUCCUACGGGAGGCAGCAGUAGGGAAUCUUCCACAAUGGACGAAAGUCUGAUGGAGCAACGCCGCGUGAGUGAAGAAGGGUUUCGGCUCGUAAAACUCUGUUGUUAAAGAAGAACAUAUCUGAGAGUAACUGUUCAGGUAUUGACGGUAUUUAACCAGAAAGCCACGGCUAACUACGUGCCAGCAGCCGCGGUAAUACGUAGGUGGCAAGCGUUGUCCGGAUUUAUUGGGCGUAAAGCGAGCGCAGGCGGUUUUUUAAGUCUGAUGUGAAAGCCUUCGGCUCAACCGAAGAAGUGCAUCGGAAACUGGGAAACUUGAGUGCAGAAGAGGACAGUGGAACUCCAUGUGUAGCGGUGAAAUGCGUAGAUAUAUGGAAGAACACCAGUGGCGAAGGCGGCUGUCUGGUCUGUAACUGACGCUGAGGCUCGAAAGUAUGGGUAGCAAACAGGAUUAGAUACCCUGGUAGUCCAUACCGUAAACGAUGAAUGCUAAGUGUUGGAGGGUUUCCGCCCUUCAGUGCUGCAGCUAACGCAUUAAGCAUUCCGCCUGGGGAGUACGGCCGCAAGGCUGAAACUCAAAGGAAUUGACGGGGGCCCGCACAAGCGGUGGAGCAUGUGGUUUAAUUCGAAGCUACGCGAAGAACCUUACCAGGUCUUGACAUACUAUGCAAAUCUAAGAGAUUAGACGUUCCCUUCGGGGACAUGGAUACAGGUGGUGCAUGGUUGUCGUCAGCUCGUGUCGUGAGAUGUUGGGUUAAGUCCCGCAACGAGCGCAACCCUUAUUAUCAGUUGCCAGCAUUAAGUUGGGCACUCUGGUGAGACUGCCGGUGACAAACCGGAGGAAGGUGGGGAUGACGUCAAAUCAUCAUGCCCCUUAUGACCUGGGCUACACACGUGCUACAAUGGAUGGUACAACGAGUUGCGAACUCGCGAGAGUAAGCUAAUCUCUUAAAGCCAUUCUCAGUUCGGAUUGUAGGCUGCAACUCGCCUACAUGAAGUCGGAAUCGCUAGUAAUCGCGGAUCAGCAUGCCGCGGUGAAUACGUUCCCGGGCCUUGUACACACCGCCCGUCACACCAUGAGAGUUUGUAACACCCAAAGUCGGUGGGGUAAC
rnacentral:rRNA from 2 species